GUGAUGAAGCCAGGCGCUGUAGAACCAUGAAGACAGCUCGAGAGGGCUGA
rnacentral:snoRNA from 1 species